rnacentral:lncRNA from 1 species
CUCGGGGAGGAGAGGCCGGCGGUGAGGGCGGGGGUCCCGGCCGCGGACCCGGGACCUGGCGCUCGGGCGGGCGCGGCGGGCACAGGCCGGGCCGCCGUCGGGGAGGAGCCGACCUGGUUCCCCAGCCUGGACUCGGCUCGGUCAGGGCAGGCGGCGGAGACGGCACCCGGCCGGGUCGGAGGGGCCGCCGCCCUUGGCGUGUGGACGAGCCCCCACCCUGGGGUGCAGGGCCCCGAGAGAUCGGAGUUGAGGCGCGAGUGUGCACCCCUACCUGCCUUGCACACCAGCGCCGUGUGGAACCAGGCCAGGCCUACUUUUACUACAAUUAGAGGAGUUUGUCAUAUGAAAGGAAUUCUUCAGGCCGACAAGAUGGCAGAUGACACACACACCUGUCAUCCCAGCUACUCAGGAGGAUCAUAAAUUCGAGGCCAGCCUUGCCAACUUAGCAAGACACUGUCUCAAAAGGGGUGGGAGAUAUAGCUAAGUGCUCCACGGUGUUAAUGCCCAAUACCACACAUACACACAAAGGGAAUUCUUAGAGGUGGAAAUUCUUAAAGUCACUAGUCAUAGUCCUUUACAAAAUAUUUGUCGCAAUAUUUAUGUGUCAUAUACAUAGAAUAUGUCAUAUAGAUGGAAUAUAUACCAUAAAAUUUUUAAAUGGGGUUUAACCUAAGUGAGCUACUUUGAAAAUAGUCAUCCCAAUGUAACAUAAAAUUGCUAUGUAUGCUCAAAACUAAAUAAAGUAAAAUAUUGUCACAAACUCUCUA